UGGGGUAACGGCUCACCUAGGCGACGAUCCCUAGCUGGUCUGAGAGGAUGACCAGCCACACUGGAACUGAGACACGGUCCAGACUCCUACGGGAGGCAGCAGUGGGGAAUAUUGCACAAUGGGCGCAAGCCUGAUGCAGCCAUGCCGCGUGUGUGAAGAAGGCCUUCGGGUUGUAAAGCACUUUCAGCGGGGAGGAAGGCGAUAAGGUUAAUAACCUUGUCGAUUGACGUUACCCGCAGAAGAAGCACCGGCUAACUCCGUGCCAGCAGCCGCGGUAAUACGGAGGGUGCAAGCGUUAAUCGGAAUUACUGGGCGUAAAGCGCACGCAGGCGGUCUGUCAAGUCGGAUGUGAAAUCCCCGGGCUCAACCUGGGAACUGCAUUCGAAACUGGCAGGCUAGAGUCUUGUAGAGGGGGGGUAGAAUUC
rnacentral:rRNA from 1 species